UCGUUCGGGAAGGUUGCUUUUGGUAUUUAUUUUGCCUGGUAAUAAAUUUUGUGUCGAAUUGAAUAGUAAGAAAUGAACUGUCCGAGCUUCAGGUUCUUGUUCGAUUCUGUUUGUUUUACGUUUAUAUUCGUGUAUCAGAUAUAUAUUAUCAUAUUAUUAUUUUGGAAGUUACUAUUAUUUAAUGUGUAGGUACGUACACUUAGUUGUAUUUUAAAUAAGAUAAUAAUAUUAUAUACCUAUUAUACAGCUAUUAUAAUUGUACAGAUAACAUAUUAUGAACAAUUUACAACAGCCCCCUACCAAUAACCGACCUAUGAAUACGCCACGAUCAAGGGCAUACUGCGUUUAAGAACGCGUACUUCGUGAAUGCUCGUGGCUCACCAAUGUGCCGCGGCACUCAGUUUGAAAAUCACUGGUCAAUAUAGUACAUACUUCGAAUAGAAAACUCGGAGUAAUCAGCGUUGAGUUUUUCUACUUUUUCCAAAUUCAUGGAGUUAUUAUUCCACGUGACUGUCGAAAACAUUCAACAAAAUUACCUUUCCGAUAGAUCCAUUCGGAACAGAAUAUUGUUUGAACCAAUCGAUACAAGCUGGCAUA